rnacentral:rRNA from 1 species
AGAGUUUGAUCCUGGCUCAGGAUGAACGCUGGCGGUAUGCCUAACACAUGCAAGUCGAACGGUGUCUUCGGACACAGUGGCGGACGGGUGAGUAACGCGUGAGAAUCUGCCUCUAGGUUGGGGACAACAGUUGGAAACGACUGCUAAUACCCGAUGUGCCGUAAGGUAAAAGAUUUAUUGCCUGGAGAGGAGCUCGCGUCUGAUUAGCUAGUUGGUGGGGUAAAAGCCUACCAAGGCAGCGAUCAGUAGCUGGUCUGAGAGGAUGAGCAGCCACACUGGGACUGAGACACGGCCCAGACUCCUACGGGAGGCAGCAGUGGGGAAUUUUCCGCAAUGGGCGAAAGCCUGACGGAGCAAUACCGCGUGAGGGAGGAAGGCCUUUGGGUUGUAAACCUCUUUUCUCAGGGAAGAAGAUCUGACGGUACCUGAGGAAUAAGCAUCGGCUAACUCCGUGCCAGCAGCCGCGGUAAUACGGAGGAUGCAAGCGUUAUCCGGAAUCAUUGGGCGUAAAGCGUCCGCAGGUGGUUUUUCAAGUCUGCUGUUAAAGACUGGAGCUCAACUCCGGAAAGGCAGUGGAAACUGAGAAACUAGAGUUCGGUAGGGGUAGCGGGAAUUCCCAGUGUAGCGGUGAAAUGCGUAGAUAUUGGGAAGAACAUCGGUGGCGAAGGCGCGCUACUGGACCGAAACUGACACUCAGGGACGAAAGCUAGGGGAGCGAAAGGGAUUAGAUACCCCGGUAGUCCUGGCUGUAAACGAUGAAUACUUGGUGUGGGGGGUAGGAAAGUCCCUCUGUGCCGGCGAUAACUCAUUAAGUAUUCCGCCUGGGGAGUACGGCCGCAAGGCUGAAACUCAAAGGAAUUGACGGGGGCCCGCACAAGCGGUGGAGCAUGUGGUUUAAUUCGACACAACGCGAAGGACCUUACCGGGGUUUGAACUGGAUAGGCGACCUGCAGAGAUGUAGGGUUCCUUUCGGGGACUUAUCCAGAGGUGCUGCAUGGCUGUCGUCAGCUCGUGUCGUGAGAUGUUGGGUUAAGUCCCGCAACGAGCGCAACCCUUGUCUGUAGUUGCCAUCAGGUUAAGCUGGGCACUCUACGGAGACUGUCGGCGAAAAGCCGGAGGAAGGUGGGGAUGACGUCAAGUCCUCAUGGCCUUUAUGUCCCGGGCUACACACGUGCUACAAUGGGCGGAACAGAGGGCAGCGACCUCGCAAGAGCAAGCGAAUCCCAGAAAUCCGCUCUCAGUUCGGAUUGCAGUCUGCAACUCGACUGCAUGAAGUUGGAAUCGCUAGUAAUCGCGGAUCAGAACGCCGCGGUGAAUACGUUCCCGGGCCUUGUACACACCGCCCGUCACAUCACGAAAGUGGGUUGUACUAGAAGCCGCCGGCCUAACCCUUCGGGGGGGGAGGCGUCGACGGUGUGAUCCAUGAUUGGGGUGAAGUCGUAACAAGGUA